rnacentral:tRNA from 2 species
GGGCGCAUAGCUCAGCGGAAGAGCACCUGCCUUACAAGCAGGGGGUCGGCGGUUCGAGUCCGUCUGCGCCCA